CUGCCUGCAACCCCUUCUCCUCAUCUCUCUGUGUCACUCCUGUGGGAGGAGCAGAACCCAGCAGCUCAUACCAGAUAUUACUUGCUGUUCAGGAAUGCACUGAGAACCAGGAGUGACCAGCAGCUGCACAGCUGGCCUCAGAAAUAGUUGCCAGGGGUGAGAGAUACAAAAGGACAUGGACUCAGAAGAAGCUUGUAUGUAUCUAUUCUUGCUAUGCUCUGGUAGUCUUUCAAAUGGGAUGACUCCUUAAAUGAACACUCUGUGCACGUGAGUGAUGGGAACUGUGGCAAACUUAAGCUCUGCUGUCAUCAUUAGGACGCAAUCUGUAUCAGGAUCAAUACUGGCACUUCUCUCACACAGAGUGUUUUGCUCUUAGCUGUAAUAUCAUCUUCCAAAAACGUUCUGCCUCCCAGCUGAAGGCAGCUGGCUAAGAAAGGAGCCAGACAAGUCCUUGCAGUAUCAUAAACCAAAUUGUCAAGAAGCACGGAGGAAGACAGGCUGUGCAUAAAGCUAGUCCACACCAUACCCCCUCUCUGCAUCUUCUCCUCUCACUUUGGCAUGUCCCUAUUACAGUGCCCUCAUGACAGAGAUAACACUAAAACUAAGUGCAUGGUGCACUUCCCAGGUGGGACCAAAAUUCUCACAAUCACUCCACAUAACUGAAUUUCUUGCCUUUGAAUUCUGAUUUUGUAAACCAUCAUGUUUUUGCAUGGCGAGGAGAAUACUGCAAGCAACACUGCCAGGUUUUACAGAAAGGAGAGCUGUGUUUGAAAGUAUGAUCAUUAGGAAACACAUA